rnacentral:rRNA from 1 species
UACGUAGGGGGCAAGCGUUGUCCGGAUUUAUUGGGCGUAAAGAGCGUGUAGGCGGCUAGGUAGGUCCGUUGUGAAAACUCGAGGCUUAACCUCGAGACGUCGAUGGAAACCAUCUAGCUAGAGUCCGGAAGAGGAGAGUGGAAUUCCUGGUGUAGCGGUGAAAUGCGCAGAUAUCAGGAAGAACACCCGUGGCUAAGGCGGCUCUCUAGUACGGUACUGACGCUGAGACGCGAAAGCGUGGGGAGCGAACAGG